UACCGGCAGCACGAGUGAUGGCCGCUCUUAUUGGGCCUAAAGCGUCCGUAGCCGGCCAGUCAAGUCCGUUGGGAAAUCGGCGCGCCUAACGCGUCGGCGUCCAGCGGAAACUGACUGGCUUGGGGCCGGAAGACCUGAGGGGUACGUCCGGGGUAGGAGUGAAAUCCCGUAAUCCUGGACGGACCACCGGUGGCGAAAGCGCCUCAGGAAGACGGACCCGACGGUGAGGGACGAAAGCUAGGGUCUCGAACCGG
rnacentral:rRNA from 1 species